rnacentral:rRNA from 1 species
UACGUAGGGUCCGAGCGUUGUCCGGAGUUACUGGGCGUAAAGCGCACGUAGGCGGAUUUGUAAGUCAGGGGUGAAAUCCCGGGGCUCAACCUCGGAACUGCCUUUGAUACUGCAAAUCUCGAGUCCGGAAGAGGUGAGUGGAAUUCCUAGUGUAGAGGUGAAAUUCGUAGAUAUUAGGAAGAACACCAGUGGCGAAGGCGGCUCACUGGUCCGGUACUGACGCUGAGGUGCGAAAGCGUGGGGAGCAAACAGGG